rnacentral:antisense_RNA from 1 species
ACGAAUUAGGUGGCAGCGGUCUUGUACACCCUGUUACCACGGUUCAUAAACUUGCCGGUUUAAUGAACCUUCGAAAAACCACCUUGCCGGGUGGUUUUUUCGUU